rnacentral:tRNA from 4 species
GCCGCCAUGGUGAAAUUGGUAGACAC